rnacentral:ribozyme from 1 species
CAAUGAAAGAACAAGUGCAAAGCAAAAAAAAAAAAAAAAAAAAAAA